rnacentral:lncRNA from 1 species
GUUUGAGAAGUCAGCAGGAGAGUGGACAUCCUGAUUACAAAGACUGAGGAUUGUCAGUGCAGAUAAUCCAUAAUCAAUCUGUAAAUCAACAUUGGGCUACUACCUGUGUUACUGAGAUACAAAUAAAUUAAAUUUAAGGCCACACCAGAAGGCCCCUGAGAUCUCCCUGUGUGGGCCUCAGGCCAAGUCCCGCCCCAGUCAGGGAAUUGGGAUCCCCCAGAACGCCUGGAAGAUGUCCCCCACUCUCCCACCUCCAGUGCCUGGCCCAGGGCUGGCACACUGCAGGAGCUCAACUCUCUUCUGCGUGGAUGUUGGCAGCCUGGGUUCAUGGACGAAGAAGGUCUUAUAAAAGCAGAAGUGCCAGGUCGUGAGUAAGGCCCUGGCACGUGGUCCCCUCUGACCAGUUUGCCGCUCCCCAUCUGGCUUGUACAAUAUUUUUUUAUACCAGCUGUGGUGCUGCCACCCAGAGGCCCCACUGCCACCCAAGGAGCCUCUCUCCUCCCCUUGCUGAUCCUCAGCACCGUACCUGCCCUUGUGGGAACAGAUAUAGGUGGAAUGCCAAGGAGAGGCAGGCAGGCUACCUCAAGAAACCCUUUCCCACAAGUAACCCAGUUAACUUCUGGGGUCUCUGAGCACAUGCCACACAUGGCACCAAGCACUGUAUGUGCACUGGCUUUUUAACAUACUCAGAGGCGAUUUUAAGGAGAGGGCACUGAGGCUUGGGCCUUGGGGUGGGCGUGCCAGGUUGUGUGUCCUGUGUCAUGCCUUGAGCCAAACCCAGAUGUUCACCCAAUCUCAAGUCAGAAACCUGUCCUUCACAGGCAGAGGCCCAGCACAGCUGGAAAAGGGCCCUUGGC